rnacentral:tRNA from 2 species
UCCCGAAUAGCUCAGUUGGUUAGAGCAUCUGACUGUUAAUCAGAGGGUCUCUGGUUCAAGUCCAGAUUCGGGAG